rnacentral:misc_RNA from 1 species
GUAAAAUUUAUAUAUUUAUAUUUUUAAAAUUUCAUUUUUCAAUUUGACUUCACCUCUUUUAUUAUCCUUUUCUUAAUUCUAAUAAAAAUAAAUCAAUUAAUUUAAAAAGGGAGACUAAAUACUAUUAACGUUUUUCACAUAUUCAAAAGGAAAAAAUCAACCAAAAUUUACUAUUAAACUGGAGGUCGAUUUGGUUCAGCCACAUUAUACGACCCAACCGGUUGAGCCGAAGUCCCUUCUUCGUCAUUGGCUGCUACUUUUGGCGACUUUACUGUGGAUGAUGCUCUCGUCAAAAUUGAUGAGGCUCUUACUAAAAAUGGUGGGGCCGCACCAAAAACCCACCGGUCCGACUUAGCUCCCUGGUCCAACCGCUCA